rnacentral:rRNA from 1 species
AUGAACGCUGGCGGCGUGCUUAAUACAUGCAAGUCGAACGAAUGGAUGUCUAGCUUGCUAGACUGAAGUUAGUGGCGAACGGGUGAGUAAUACAUAGGCAAUCUGCCCUGAAGGUGUGGGAUAGCAGCUGGAAACGGCUGGUAAUACCGCAUAAGCGCACGGGAACCGCAUGGUUUUGUGUGAAAAAACUCCGGUGGUAUGAGAUGGACCCGCGUCUGAUUAGCUAGUUGGUGGGGCAACGGCCUACCAAGGCGACGAUCAGUAGCCGGUCUGAGAGGAUGAACGGCCACAUUGGAACUGAGACACGGUCCAGACUCCUACGGGAGGCAGCAGUGGGGAAUCUUCCGCAAUGGGCGAAAGCCUGACGGAGCAACGCCGCGUGAGUGAAGAAGGUCUUCGGAUCGUAAAGCUCUGUUGUCGGGGGCGAAUGUUGAGGCCUAGAAUAUAGGUUUCAAAUGACGGUACCUGACGAGGAAGCCACGGCUAACUACGUG